UGUGAACUCGCGCUCGGCCUAUAGUAAAAUGGGGGUGAGAACUAACUUCCUUAGUUCCAGUGGUUCGGCCGCCGACUCCGCCGAUCCGCCCACUAGGUCCAAGCGGGCAAAAGUAGAUAAUCGAUAGAUAGAUAGAGUAAGGAAGCGGUAAAUGACAGAAGUAAAGCUCACUACUAUGUGCCAAUCUAAUAUAUAUGAAUGCAUGUACAAUGAAAUAGGUAAGCAACCUCACACUGUCAUCACCCAAAGGUAAAGCUAUUCACUCGUUCGUUUUCCUCAUUUACCUUGUUCUUAAAUCUCGUGGCUUCCCUGAAGGAGCCUCCUGCUCACUAGCCAUUCUCGAAGAUAGGGAGGGUCAACUCGCACUACGAACUGGGAGACCGUCUGUGUGACCAAAAUAGGUAAUCCUUGGGGACCGGCAAUAGGCGAUCCACAGUGACGACACCCGGAGCGCACUACUUGUGUGGGCUUCCAUCACAAGAUUUAAACAGACGCGUGAGCAUGAUCCAAUCCUCUAAGUCUCGAGGAGUACCCUGUCCUCUAAGGGCUCACCAUGCAUCAUAUAGUCCAUAAUUCAUAAUACACUACGAUCACAUAUGUCACUUGUUCUUUUGUUUACUAUCAACUAGAUGCCACUCGUUCUUUACAAGUUUCCAAUGCAAUAGCCAAUACAUUACUAAAUUCCCAUCCACACUUAUCAUCUCAUUAUAGGGUUCCACAUCACAUAUAUAAACCUCAAGCAUGCUAGAUAUAAGUACUAAGCCAAAUACAUUGUUCUACCAAAGAACAUGCAAGGUAUAGGACCAAACCAUCAUUUAUCACCCUAUAAUGCAAGAUGUCAAUAUGUCAAUAUGCAAUUUGAUCAAUAUAAAACUUAGACAUAGAAGGGAGUCCGGUUGCUUCGGGAUGGACACCACCCACCUUUUUAUCGCGUUCCGAUUGCUCGUCGUCACUCGCAAUCGGCCUCCCGCGGCGCACGCUGCACGGCUCGACCCCACUCACAUGCGACCGUCAAAUGACCACCGAUUUGCGAUCCGUAAAUUAAAGGCCUUCGGUUUCUUGUCACGAUGCUUCAAAUCCGUUUCCAGGAUUUUACGACGUCGCCUCGGCCCUCCAGGCGGAAACGAAGCCUAAACGUCCGUUUCUUUAAUAACUUUGCACCGGCUCGACGAAUCGCCGAACCGUCGCUUCCAACACGUUCAGUGACCUAUCAAUUUGGUUUACGGAGGGUCAAAUGAGAUCAAACCCUUAUAUUUCCAAAAAUUACAUUUUUGAGCCUUAAGAUACACUAUUGCAAGAAUUCAUCAUAUGAUCCCUUAAUUCAUACAAUAGUCAUCCAUUUAGCAUCUAAGGAUUCCUCUAAAUCAAUUCUUAGAGCAUAUAAUUAAAGCUCUAAAGAUCUAUCAUUAUAAACCUAGCCUCUACACAUGCUCCAAUUAAUCCAAAUUAAAUGGAUUUAACAUACUAAUCAACACAUUAGAGGCUAUUGGAACACUAAGCAUUAAGGAUUAAACCAAAUCCUAGCUUAAAUUAUGAGAUCUCACCUUAGACCACCAUUCACAUCAAGCUAAAUCCACUAUUGGAAAGCUUGCUUCCACCAUUAGAGAGAGCUUCAACUUAAAGCUACUCUAAUCUUCUCCAAGCUUGCUUCAAUUUUUUUCUUUCUUUUCUUCUCCAAUCCUCUCUUUGGUGUAGAGAGAGAUUUUUUCUCUUUGCUUGUGAGUGUGAAUAAUGAGAGGAAAGAAAGCCCAAG
rnacentral:lncRNA from 1 species